rnacentral:rRNA from 1 species
GUGGAUUAGUGGCGAACGGGUGAGUAACACGUGAGUAACCUGCCCCCGACUUUGGGAUAAGCCCGGGAAACUGGGUCUAAUACCGGAUAUGACUUCCUGCCGCAUGGUGGGUUGUUGAAAGAUUUAUCGGUGGGGGAUGGACUCGCGGCCUAUCAGCUUGUUGGUGAGGUAAUGGCUCACCAAGGCGACGACGGGUAGCCGGCCUGAGAGGGUGACCGGCCACACUGGGACUGAGACACGGCCCAGACUCCUACGGGAGGCAGCAGUGGGGAAUAUUGCACAAUGGGCGGAAGCCUGAUGCAGCGACGCCGCGUGAGGGAUGACGGCCUUCGGGUUGUAAACCUCUUUCAGUAGGGAAGAAGCGAAAGUGACGGUACCUGCAGAAGAAGCGCCGGCUAACUACGUGCCAGCAGCCGCGGUAAUACGUAGGGCGCAAGCGUUAUCCGGAUUUAUUGGGCGUAAAGAGCUCGUAGGCGGUUUGUCGCGUCUGCCGUGAAAGUCCGAGGCUCAACCUCGGAUCUGCGGUGGGUACGGGCAGACUAGAGUGAUGUAGGGGAGACUGGAAUUCCUGGUGUAGCGGUGAAAUGCGCAGAUAUCAGGAGGAACACCGAUGGCGAAGGCAGGUCUCUGGGCAUUUACUGACGCUGAGGA